rnacentral:rRNA from 1 species
GACCAGACUCCUACGGGAGGCAGCAGUGGGGAAUAUUGGGCAAUGGGCGCAAGCCUGACCCAACAACGCCGCGUGAAGGAAGAAGGCUUUCGGGUUGUAACUUCUUUUCUCAGGGACGAAGCAAGUGACGGUACCUGAGGAAUAAGCCACGGCUAACUACGUGCCAGCAGCCGCGGUAAUACGUAGGUGGCAAGCGUUAUCCGGAUUUACUGGGUGUAAAGGGCGUGUAGGCGGGGACGCAAGUCAGAUGUGAAAACCACGGGCUCAACCUGUGGCCUGCAUUUGAAACUGUGUUUCUUGAGUACUGGAGAGGCAGACGGAAUUCCUAGUGCAGCGGUGAAAUGCGUAAAUAUUAGGAGGAACACCAGUGGCGAAGGCGGCUUACUGGGCUUUAACUGACGCUGAGGCUCGAAAGCGUGGGUAGCAAACAGGAUUAGAUACCCCGGUA